AUUGAACGCUGGCGGCAGGCCUAACACAUGCAAGUCGAGCGGAGCGGCAGACGGGGGAGUAAUGGUAAGGAAUCUGCCUGGUAGUGGGGGAUAACGUUCGGAAACGGGAGCUAAUACCGCAUACUUGCAGUUGAGGCUAGGUCUGAUUAGCUAGUUGGUGGGGUAAAGGCCAACCAAGGCGACGAUCCGUAACUGGUCUGAGAGGAUGAUCAGCCACACUGGAACUGAGACACGGUCCAGACUCCUACGGGAGGCAGCAGUGGGGAAUAUUGGACAAUGGGCGAAAGCCUGAUCCAGCCAUGCCGCGUGUGUGAAGAAGGUCUUCGGAUUGUAAAGCACUUUAAGUUGGGAGGCGUUACCAACAGAAUAAGCACCGGCUAACUUCGUGCCAGCAGCCGCGGUAAUAC
rnacentral:rRNA from 1 species